UUGAGAAACACUUUGGAAUGUUUGUUUUGUUGGAGAAAUCAGAUUUUCCAAGUCAUUUUGAGAGUUUCUCUUCUUUUGGUUCAUUUUUUUUUUCCUCUUUUGAAAUUGUCCGAGUCUGGUGAGAAAACAGAAAACUGACUUCUGUAGAGAAAAUAACUCUGUGAUGUGCUGUCCGUAGACACUUGACUUGAGAGACACAAUCUGAAACUGCAAACCCAAUUCCGGUGGGCAUUUAACAAGUCACUCAUUAUCAUCAUCCAAUUUAGUUGUUUUCCUUAACUGGCUUUUCUGUUACGGCCUGAGAAGAGAAUAGGAAAAUACCAUUUCAAUCUGUUUGAGGGAAUUCUCUUGAAGUUGUCUGUAUAUCUCAUUCCAAUUUCCGUUCUCUGUAGUUCUUAGUGCAUAACUACUUUCUUCUUAUGUCCCCAAUUUUCUCAAAUUGUUUAGUCUCAAAACUUCUUAUCUUUUACCUUACAGUUGGUUCAAUGUAAUUAUCUGCAAAUGGAAAAACUAGUGCACCAUUCUGUAUUUCUUGUUGUUGUUACGGUGUUUCUUCUAAUCUGUCGAUCGGAGGAACUCCGAUCUUCCGAGUCUCAGGCUCUUUUGAGAAUUCAGAGACUUCUCAACUUCCCAACCAUUCUAAGAGAAUGGAAAAACAAUACCGAUUUCUGUAACACUGAACCAAACCAAUCCUUAGCUGUUGUGUGCUAUGAAGAUAGCAUAACCCAGCUUCAUAUAAUUGGUGAAAAGGGAGCUCCUCUCUUGCCUAGAAACUUUUCGAUAGAUUCCUUUGUAACAACUCUUGUUAAUCUACCGGAUUUGAAAGUCCUAACUUUCGUCUCUCUUGGUCUAUGGGGUCCCUUGCCUGAUAAAAUCGGGCGUUUGACAUCACUGGAGAUACUUAACAUGAGCUCAAAUUUUCUCUAUGGUGGCAUCCCCCGAGAGGUUUCAUCGCUAACAAGUCUUCGAACACUCAUACUCGAUGACAACAUGCUGGCUGGUCGGUUACCGGGUUGGCUGAGUUCACUCCCACUUUUGACUGUUUUGAGUUUGAAGAAUAAUUCGUUUAAUGGAUCUGUGCCGACUUCAUUUGCUUAUCCUGAAAAUCUAAGAGUUCUUGCAUUGUCACAUAACCACUUUUACGGAGAGGUUCCCGAUUUUAGUCGGUUGACAAACCUUCAAGUUCUUGAAUUGGAAGACAAUGCUUUUGGACCAAAGUUUCCUACCCUUGGAAGCAAGUUAGUUACUCUGGUACUAAGCAAGAACAGGUUUAGAUCUGGCUUGCCUUCUGAACUCAGCUCCUAUUAUCAGCUUGACAAACUAGACCUUUCCUACAAUUCUUUUGUGGGGCCAUUUCCGCAAUCAUUGCUAUCACUCCCUUCUAUCACUUAUCUAAAUGUUGCAGGAAACAGAUUCACAGGAAUGCUUUUUGGCAAUCAAUCUUGCAGUCCUGUUCUUGAAUUUGUGGAUUUGUCCUCAAAUCUUUUGACUGGAACCGUACCUAGCUGCCUUGUAUCGAAUUAUAAGGACAAGGUUUUCCUAUAUGCUAUGAAUUGUUUAGCAACCAGAAAACAAAAGCAACAUCCAUUGCAGUUUUGUCGUAAUGAAGCUUUAGCUGUCGGAAUCUUACCUGAGAAAAAGAAGCAAAAACAAGUUUUUAAGGCAUUUCUUGCCUUGGCUAUACUUGGAGGUGCUUUUGGAAGUAUUCUCCUUGUACUUGUAAUUUUCUUGAUUUAUAGAAGGAUUAACUCCAGGGUAAUAAAGAAAUCUUCUACAAGAUCAAUAGCGGAGAAUGCGUCGACUGGAACUGGAUACACCUCAAAGUUGCUCUGUGAUGCAAGGUAUAUAUCACAAACAAUGAAGAUGGGAGCGCUUGGUCUUCCUGGUUAUCGAACCUUUUCUUUGGAAGAGCUUGAGGAGGCUACAAACAACUUUGAUACAUCUGCUUUUAUGGGUGAAGGUUCUUAUGGGCAGAUGUACAGAGGCCUGCUGAGGGAUGGUUCCUAUGUUGCUAUUAGAUGCCUAAAAAUUAAAAGGAGGCACGGCACGCAAAAUUUCAUGCAACAUAUCGAUCUUACUUCUAAACUCAGACAUUGGAACUUGGUUAGUGCUCUUGGGCAUUGCUUUGAGUGUUACUUGGAUGAUUCCAGUGUCAGCAGCAUGUUUCUUAUCUUUGAAUAUGUACCAAAUGGCACUCUAAGGAGCUGGAUCUCUGAGGGACAUUCCAAGCGACCACUAAGUUGGAUACGACGGAUAGCAGCCGCAAUAGGCAUAGCAAAGGGUCUCCAAUUUCUACAUACUGGGAUUGUGCCUGGCAUAUACAGAAAUAAUCUCAAAAUAACAGACAUACUACUUGAUUACAGCCUCACUGCAAAGAUUAGUAGUUAUAACCUCCCCUUAUUGGCAAAUAACUUGGGCAAGGUUAGCCAUGGCAUUUCUUCCAGUGGAUCCAAAGAUCCCUGGAUUGAUGAGGAAAAGAUUGAUAUUUAUGACUUUGGAGUAAUAUUGCUGGAAAUCAUUAAGGGCAGACAAGUAAAUUCUGAAAAAAAGGUGGAUGCACUAGUAGAUCAGUUACAACUUGCAAUUGCAGCUGAUAGAGCAGCUCGACGGAGUGUGGUUGAUCCUGCAGUUAACAGGUCAUGCUUGGACCAGUCGUUGAAGACGAUGAUGGAAAUUUGCGUCAGGUGUCUGCUCAAGAAACCAGAAGAUAGACCUUCGAUUGAAGAUAUAUUGUGGAAUUUGCAGUAUGCUGCUCAAGUUCAGGGUGCAUGGCGCGGAGACUCACAGAGCAGUGACAGUUCUCCAAUCUGACCUCAACAACGUUCAUUCGCCACUUUCUGUUAGUAACAGCAUACUGAAACAUGGAAGCUGAUAGAUGGAAAGGGAAUGGCACCAGCAAAAUCAAAUGUUGUUGGCAGGAACAAUAUCUUUCCGUUUGGAAUUGUAGACCGUGCUAGUUGCCUCUAAAAAGAGAAAAAGAAGGCACUCAAACUCAAUCCUACUAUCAUGCAAGGAUUCCACAUUGUAAUAGAUUAAACAGUAUUGUGUAAUAUUGAUUAUUAUGUGAUUUUUUCUUAAAUCAUAAUCAAUAUCAUACAAAACAAAAACAAUUUGGUUUAUUACGUUGUGCCAAACAAAAGAUUUACUCUAAUGUUGAGAGUAGUCCACCAGGACUUUCUUAGUAAUUGUCAAAUGAAUGGUUGUGUUGUAGUUGCAAGCAGUGACGGAGGGAGGAUUUUUAUU